UACAGAGGUCUCAAGCGUUGUUCGGAUUCAUUGGGCGUAAAGGGUGCGUAGGCGGCGCGGUAAGUCGGGUGUGAAAUCUUGGAGCUUAACUCCGAAACUGCAUUCGAUACUGCCGUGCUUGAGGACUGGAGAGGAGACUGGAAUUUACGGUGUAGCGGUGAAAUGCGUAGAUAUCGUAAGGAAGACCAGUGGCGAAGGCGGGUCUCUGGACAGUUCCUGACGCUGAGGCACGAAGGUCAGGGGAGCAAACGGGG
rnacentral:rRNA from 1 species